CCCCGCCCCGCCCCCGUGAUGGGUGCAGGCGAAGGAAGUCGCGGCGCUUGAGUGGGACCUUCGCCCACUAGCUUCCGGGUGUGAGCCCCACCCACCGGGUCACGUAGUAAGACUGCCGCACCUUUCCAGGUGUUACUGCCCGCUGUCUCCAAACCGCCUGGGAGACGGCCCGCACAUAGCGGGUGCUCCGGAAAUAUUUAAACACAGUAGGCGAGACCUUUGUGCUGAAAGGACAAGACUUUGUUCACUUUACAGAGGAUGAAACUGAGGCCUUGGCAGGUGAGAGGCCUCUCUCUAAGGUGAAGUGAGGACCACCUUCCGGGGAGCUCCCCUUCCCCUCACCUCAACAGCCACUCCUCCGGGGGACUUGUCACAGCCUGUCUUUCCAUCUGGAGCGAGGAUGUCUGUAUAGGGGCCGGGAGGGCCUGCCUGUCCACGCCCCAAACACCGGCACUCAUUAAACUGAAGUUCACAGAGAG